GCAAAUACAAGAACGUUUGGGUAAAAAUAUAUUUUCUAUCCCCACUUCAUGUGUUGGCACUAGCCAUAUAUGUAGCCUGGGUCAAGUACAGGUAGUAACUGAGCUAUGCCAUAAGAUUAUUAUUCAAUUUGUACUUCCAAAAUGAAAUAUGCUUACAUUAAUAGAGUGACAAAUAUCUAACAGAUGAAUAUAUAUAUGUCUGCAUUAACACUGUAUGUAUGCUACACAGUCAUUUAGAUAUAAACAUAGGUUAUUUUCAAAUAGAAAGGCAACAGUAAUAAUGUUCUACACCUAUAGUUUAAGGCAAUCAAGAUAUUAAAAAUGUAUACAAAUACAAAUAUUUCUACUGCUGUUCACAGCUUAAUUUUUAGUUAAUUAAAAAAAAUCCUUCAUAUUUGUAUAAUCCCAUACUUUUACACGCUGGCUGGAAAAUCGUAGAUACUACAUACUGUAAUGCAACCCUGGUCCUUGAAGAAAAGAUGACAGGAGUAAGGAGUUCUAACGUCUGAGAAUAGCAAAUGGUAACGUGAUUCAAGCGGACAAAAUUGCAUAUGAUCACACACACAAGACAUUUCAGUUUUCAAGACAACAGUUUAAAAGCAGAAUGAGAGCUACCUGAAAAACAAAACCAACUGAUGACAUUAAAUAAGACUUGCUUAAAAAGAGACACAAAUACAACAAAGCCUUCUUGACAGGAUAAGUUGCUAAAAAUGUACAAGGUACCAAAAGGAUGAAAGAUUUAGGAUUGAAAAGGCGGGAGUUCCCAGGUAAAAUCUGGAUGUGCUGCUUAAAUGUAGCAUUCUGGGGUUCAAAUGCACAGCUACUUCGAUCGUUUAGACCAGUGAUUUUCAACCAGGGUGCCUCAGCACUCUGGGGUGCCUUGCAAUCCAUUCAAGGGUCCUACAGGGUGUCACACAAAGUUAGCACUGGUAGGUGUGUAAACAUGACUCACAAGAUAAGCCCUGAAAAUUCAAAGAGGAAUCCAUAGUAUCAAAACCAUUCUGACCUAUUGAGUUCUUUGCAACAGAAGAAUUGCUGUUAUGUUUCUGUAGUCGAAAAAACAAGCGAACAUUAAGAGGUGACAUUUUUCAAGAGGUGGAGAUUGAGAAUCACUGGCUUAGACUUCCGGGGUGGAGAGCCCAGUGAAGGGACAACUACACAAUUCUCCCCUCCCCAUGUAACUACCCUUUACUCCUCAGUUUACACUGCAAGACAAGGACUUUAGCACAGUGAUGAAAUAUUCUUUAAAACUCUGAGCAUGGUUGGAGCUCUUGGCAUGACAGACAAACCUGGGUUGAAGGGCAAGAGGAAAGGGGCUUACUUCUUCUGAGUGUGUAUUAGCUGGUAUGUUGUAACAUUUAGUCUUUACAUGACCCUGAGUUGAAGUAAGGGAAGCUAAAUCACAGUGAUUUAUCCCUAAAACCAAUGAUAAACUACUGUUGUUUAGCAUCCACUCAUCACAGGAUAUAGCAGAGGGGUGAAACAGUGACAAGAUUCAUCUAAGCCUGAAGUCCCUUGCUUUUAGAUCAGCCUAAUAGUUUCAUCUCUUUACACUCUCUGAUAGCCAUGGCCAUCACCAGUGUCAGUAAGGCGCAGUUUAAGAAAGGCCACAGGUUUGUAUUUACUUCAUUUACCUCAUUCUUACUUAAUUUACACAGAAGUAAGAUAUUCAGGAGUAAUCAGAGUUGGCCUCACUCCAUUACAGAAGUUAAUGGGCUACUUGCACCGUUUGUUUUAAUGGGAGCAGAGAGGCCAAAGUUGAGAACUCUUGGUCCUCCACCCUGUUCACUCUCCUUGGGAAGUGGAUCGAGUCACUGGGAGUUAGGCACCCAACUGCCACCUGUGCCUUUGAUAGUUGGCCUUGAAAAGCCAUUUUAGCAGUGCAAUUCAAAGCAAAUACUACCCUUCUCAAGGCAAGAGUGUGUCAUUUGGGCCUUUGCCUACAGGGGUAUUUCCACAUCCAAGAAACACUAAUUCGCAGAAAUUCAUUCAACAUUCUUACUCAUUUUUAAUAGCCUCAAGAUUUUUAAAAAAGGCUUGAGGGAAAUGUGGCAUGGGCAGUGACCAGCUACUUCAGUUUAAAUAAUUUUACGACAAAUCACAAUUGUGCAGAUCCUUGCAAGCAAGAGUUAAGAUUACACAACUGUCAUUAGAAAUUAGAUUGACCAGGCUAGUGCCAUAAAUUGAUAUUUUCAAAAA